AGGGAAAUAGCUCAGUGGUAGAGCCUAUGCUUAGCAUGCACGAGAUCCUGGGUUCAAUCCCCAGUCCCUCCA
rnacentral:tRNA from 1 species